rnacentral:lncRNA from 1 species
AUCUGAAAACUUUGUACCGGUGUCAACGCGAUCAUACAAUAAAACACCACUGCCAAAUUCUUGUUUCCUUGUUGAAGCUAGGAAGCGAAGUUCAUGUGAAUGAAAUUUGAUCGAUGAAUCAGGGAACCCUGUAGGUGGUUUUUUUAGAUCAUCUUCGGUUAAAUAUGUUCCUUGACUCUUUCUUGGUAUACUUCCAAGGUAAGCUGGUGAUAUUGGACUCCAUAUCAAGUAUUGAAGACUUUUGAUACCAAGUUUUUGAGUCAAGUUAGGUAGCCAAUAUUGAAAAUCAAAGAAAACUAUUUGUGGCUUUAACUCCUUCAAAAGAAGUUCAAUUUGUUUAUCUGUUUGAUCCAUGGCUGUAGCAAUAAGAGGGAAUAAAGAAAAUGGCACAUCUGAAGUUGUUUCAGCAUUAUGAGGAAGGCCAUUAACAUGAGGAACUGUGAUAGGGAAAAAUGUAAUAAGAUUUGGAUGAAGAUUGAGAUGUUGCAACUUGUUGAGUGUGUUUUUAGGGAUGAAGAACGAUAUUUUGUGACCUCUUAUUGCUAAUUUGUUUGAGAAGUGGAGAUAUGGGGUGAAAUGUCCCAUAGCAAACCAUGGAAACAUUGAUAUAUGCAUAGGAGGAAGAGCAUCCAUGGCUGCUACUAAAUGCAAUGGACCAAACUAAGGACACAAAUAUAGUAAGGGAAAAGAACAAGAUAGGGAUGUACGCUAAUGUGAGCCAACCAAAACAUACGAUACUAUUGUAGAUCAACCAACCUUUCAAGAAUUUUUUUUUUUUCUGCCCUAAUUUAUGCCAAAAAAUACAAAAAUGCCCCAAUUUUUCAUAUGUCUCUGGUACCACUCCACUUGGAGUUGCGGGGUAUCCUAAAAAGUGACGAAAAUUUAGUCUUUAUUAUACCCCUCUACUUGGAGUUGCGGGGUAUGUUUAGAUUUUUUUUUCAAUUUUUUUAAAUACCCCUCCAUCUUGACUUGCGGGAUAUUUUUGGGGCUUUUUUUUUUUAAUUUUUAAAUAUCCCUCUACUUGGAGUAGAGUGGUAUAAUAAGGACAAAAAAAAAUUUGAAGGAUAGGGAUACGUGUAUGCAUGCAUAAAUAAUAAUAUUAAUAAUUUAAUUUAAAAAAACUAAUUAAAAUUAUACAACAAAUAAAACACCAUAAAAUCUACAAUUAUUAUAAAACAUGUAUUAUUUCAUCUACUAUAAAUACUUCAUUUCAUUUUUCAGUUUAUCACACCAUUUCAACUUAUAUUAAUAAUAUUAAUUUAGGCAUUAAUAAAAAAGUAAUUAUAAUAAUAAUCAUAAUAUAUAUAUAUAUAAAAUAAAAAACUUACGAAAUACAAUAAAUUUGAAAUAAAGACUAGAUUUCUACUGAUGUCUAAUAUUAAUGCAAUCUUUGCGGGAAUGACUAGGCAUCCUACAAACGCCGCAUCUUCUCUCAGUUUCCACAUCGUCCAUCUCGGUCCUAAUGCGAGUAAUUGGUGGACGACCUUUCUUUGCCCUACACAUGGACUUGUUGGGAACCACCUUCAGUCCUUCAUAAUCAGGCCAAUAUGACUGGUGGUGAACCACGUCGAAGUGGAUGUUGUAUACGGCGUAUACACACUCAUUCGUGAAUUUGUUAUCGACAAAAGUCUUGUAGUUGUGACAAAAGCUAGAACAUGCGGCAAUGACAUGUGAGCAUGGUAGGUAUAACGCUCUGAACCGUCCACAGUCACACCAUUUAUUUUGCAGGUCCACCUUGUAUUCUCCUUUGGUAAUCCUUCUUUAUGGUCGAUGGUUUCGCGGAAGACAUCGUCGAAGACGAGGGUGUGGGACAGCAGGGCAUUUAUAAUAAUUGUAAUUGAUUAUUAUUAUUAUUAUUAUUAUUAUUAUUUAUGCAUGCAUACACGUAUCCCUAUCCUUCAAAAAAAAUUUGUCCUUAUUAUACCACUCUACUCCAAGUAUAGGGGUAUUUAAAAAUAAAAAUAAAAAAGCCCAAAAAUACCCCGCAAGUCAAGAUGGAGGGGUAUUUAAAAAAAUUGAAAAAAAAUCUAAAAAUACCCCGCAACUCCAAGUAGAGGGGUAUAAUAAAGAUAAAAUUUUCGUCACUUUUUAGGGUACCCCGUAACUCCAAGUGGAGUGGUACCAGAGACAUCUGAAAAAAUAGGGCAUUUGUGCAAUUUUUCAAAAAAGUGGAGCAUUUUUGUAUUUUUUGGCAUAAACUAGGGCAGAAAAAAAAAUUCUCUUUACACUCCAAUAUAGGUCAUAUUUAUAGGGCAGAAUGAAUAAUCACAUUACAAUACACUUAGUAGUGGGAAUUCCAAGGAUGUGGAAGGGUAAUGGAUAGACAUCCACUAAUAGAUAUAUGGUUUAAUAUCAGUUUUGGCCCCCUAAAUAUCACGAACUUAGGAUUUUGAUCCCCUAACAAAAACAAUUACAACCUAGACCAUUAAGUAUAGUCCAUUUUAGAGUUUUGCCCUCCGGACCAAUAUUGACCCAAUCAACACACGUGGCACUCACUUAAGUGAGUAGAACGCCACGUAUAUAAUUUUUUAAUUAAAAAUAAUUAAAAAAAACCACAUUUUAAAAAUAAAUAAAAAAAAACAUGUAAAUGGACAAGAAUGGCACGUGAGCUUCUUCCCAACAAUUUCUUCAUCUUCUCAUUUUCAACCUUCAAAUCAUCUCUCUCAAAAAUCUAAAAAUUAUCAAUCUUCAACACCCAAACCUUCAACAACAACCAUUAAAACCCAUAAAAAUCUUCAUCAUUAAUAAAAAGCCCGUUUGUUUUGGAUUUUUUUGAAGAAAAAAAAAAUCAAUUUUUUUAACUUUUAUUUUGUUUGAUUUAGAUUUUAAAAAAUAAUUUUUUGCUACAAAAAAUCAUUUUUAGCCUCAAAAUAAAAAUCUAUUUCAAGUAGCUUUUCCAAAAAAAAAAAAAAUUAAAUGCAAGGAACUCAAGUGUAAGUGUUUCAAUUCUUAAAAAAAUAAUUGUUAUGAGGCUCCGUCUAGGGUGCAUGACCCUAAUGGGUCUCUCACCCGUAGGAGACUAUAAAGACCUUGUAUUUAAAAAAAUAAUUGUUAUGAGGCUCCGUCUAGGGUGCAUGAGUUAAUUAAUAGGAAAUUUCAAAAUUGACCUUGUAUUUAAAUGAAAGGUUAAAUAUGUUUUGAUCCUUAUAAAUAUACAAAUUUUUCAUUUUAGUUAACUCAUGUCUAAUCUUCAUUAUAUCUUAAAAUUUUGGCAUUUAAAAAUAUUAUAAUAUGGACCGAAGAUUCUGAUUUCCUAAUUAAAUUUUGAUUUUUUAAGAGGAAGGUUUAUGAAGUGAAAACUUCACAUGGUUUUUUAAGAGCAAAAUUUCUCUUUUAGUGUAAAUAUAAGUAGCCAGUUAGUUACGAACGCAGAAAUGUUUAUAUUGGUUUCACAAUCCAUUAUUUUCCGCCAAAAUUAGGGAGAAACACUUUUAUAAAAAAAAAAAUCAAUUUUUUUAACAUAUAAUAAAUCGAAUUUGAUUUUUUUAAACGUUAAAAUUUUAAGAUAAAACUAAUAAAAAUCUGGACCUAAAAAUCAAUUUAUGAGGUAUUUUUUUGCAGUGUAUAUUAUUUUUAAAGAUGGUGUAUAUUUUGUAAUAUUUUAAACAAGUGUAAAAAAAUCAUUUAAAAAUUUAAGUAUAAUUAAACAAAAUUUUUUCUUCAAAAAAUAAUUAAAUAAAUUUUAAUUUAACAGAUACUAAAACUACGUGCUGAAAUUUUUUGUAUGGACUAAAACAUUUCACCUUUUUUACAAGGAUUAAAAGUAAAAUUAACUAUAUUUAUAGAAACCAAAAACUUAUUUAACCCUAAAAAAUAUGAAGAUUAGACAUGAGUUAACUAAAAUGAAAAGUUUGUAUAUUUAUAAAGAUCAAAACAUAUUUAACCUUUCAUUUAAAUACAAGGUCAAUUUUAAAAUUUUCUAUUAAUUAAAAUAUUAUUAUCACACUUAAAAGUCAUUUUGGUAACCAAAAAAAAAAAAACUGGUCUUUAUGGUCUCCUACGGGUGAGAGACCCAUUAGGGUCAUGCACCCUAGACAGAGCCUUUGUUAUGAUAGUAAACAAACAGAAAUAACUUAAAUUUUUUUUUUUUUAAAUCUAUAAAAAAAAAAAAAAAUCUCUAAAUUUUUUUAACUCAAAAUCUAUUUUUUGAAAAGCCGAAACAAAUGCACCCAAAAACAUUCAAUCCCGAAAAGCAAUAAAAAAACAACACACAACCCUUCCUCUAAUUUUCGCCCAUUUGAAAAGGGAAGGAACAAGGAAUGAUCAACAAGACAGAAGUUCCAAUCACAUAAUCAAGAAGUUACUUAUAAAACAACAACUCAAAACAUAAACAAUGGUCCAAAACAUCUUCACCAUCAUUUUCUUCAAUUUCCACCCACUCUUCUUUCUCAAGCCUCCAACAAUAACGAUCGCAGUCCCGUAUAGGAUUUCGCGAUUUCGGCCGUUAAAGGUGUUGCGAUACAAACUGCGGUUGUCGCGGUGUGAAUUAAUCACAACAUUACACAACUCUUAAAUAAUGAUAGUAACUUAAAUAACUUAUACUUGUUCAAAAAACUUAAAUAACUUAUACUUGUUCAAAAAACUUAAAUAACUUUUAUACUAGUUAAAGAUUUGGAAUUCUAAACUAGAUAAGGAGAUAACUUAUAUAAUUUAUGAUCAAAUAUGUAUCAAAAAUAUGAUUUUCAUCUAUCUCAAUCGGAAAAAAAAAAAUCCGAAUUCUAUGUCUAUUGUCAAGAAUGGCAAUUUUUUGCAGCUGUAAUGGUGUUUCGUCACAGCUGUAAUGGUAUUUUGUCGUGUUGUUCACUCUAUAAUCUAUAAAAACAGUGAAGAACGGCAACAUUCGCUACCUAUACCUUUUUGUCGCGGCCAUUUUCUCGAUAACGGACGGUUUUUUAAAACCUUGCCUCCAACAUACUCUUCCUGAAAACCCUCACAUGUACCCUUUCUCCGAUAUCUCAACCGCCACCAAUAACUUCUCUGCAAACUGUCUCUCCUCCAACUCCUUCCGCUGUUGUCUCCACAACCGCGACAUCGUCGUUUUCCAACGAAAUUCCGCCAUCAAAUUGACCUCUCUGAGCUUCGUGAUCGACUUGCUCUUAUCUGCCGGAGCCACCAUAGCAGUCUUGUGAAACUCCUCGGAGCUUCUGUCUCCGGGAGCUACAUUUAUAUUGUUUAUGAAUUUGUACCCGGUGCUAAUCUUUCUGAUUAACCCUAGCUUCACCGAUCUUAAUACAUGGACGUCGCGGAUGUUAAUCGCUUCCGAUCUUGCUUACGGUCUUGAUUAUGUUCACAAUUUUGCUGGUUCUGGUUCUGGUUUUUGUUCAUAAUCAUAUCAAAAUUAAAUGAGUUUUGUGAAAAAAAUUAAAGGAGUUUUUUGUUUCUUGACGCAUCCUAUGUUGAUGGUUUCUGCGAGAAGCUUGGAGAAUUAGUCAGGUGAUUUCCUAAUUAGUAGAAACUGUAUUCAAAUGUGAUUAGUGAUUAAUUAUUGUAUGGUUCCAAUAAAAAAAUGCUCAGUCCUAUCCAAAAAUUUAAAGUAUGUGUAUUUUGAUCAAUCUGAUUGAAUUCAUAUAAGACAUUGAACUAAUCUUCCUUGUUCAAAGUCCAGUCUUUUUAACAUUAGCUCAUAUAGGUGAAAAUUACUUGUUACAGAGAAUGGUCACAUUAAAAUUCCCUAAUCAUAAAUUUGAAGGUGAAGUUUCUAUGCCAAUUUCAGUAAGUAUAGUAUAGUUGACCUAUACAUAUUUUGACUCCAAACUUUUUCGUAUAGGUUCAUGUUAUUAAGGGUUAGUCUACAACUAUGGGAUCAUUUCUAUGUAUAUGUAUAACUUAGGCUAGGAAAUUCAUUUCUAAUGUCCUACUUGAAUUGUUGUAGACCUUGGCAAUUAAUUUAUCAUUUAGUGUAGUCUCUCGUAUAAUGAAUGGAAGAGGGAGCCUUGGCGCAACGGUAAAGUUGUUGUCAUGUGACUUGAAAGGUCACGGGUUUAAGUCCUGAAAACAGCCAGCCUCAUAUAAAAAGACAUGGUAAAAUUGCCUACAAUACACCAAAAUGGUGGGACCCCUGCCAGACUCUGCGUAUGCGGAGCUUUAGUGCACUAGAUUCAUUUAAAAUUCAAGUGUAUUGCUAACCUGCCUGUUUUAUUAAACUGCUUAUAAUGAGAGUGCAAAGAUUGCAUAAAUCAGUUGUUGAAUUGUAAUAUUAUUUGAUCUACUGAAAUUGAUAGAGCAUUCUUAUUCAUAAACAAACUGAAUUAGCAAUAUUCAUUAUCAUUGUAACUAAAAAUACUAGAGCAAAUCAUAAAGCUUCUGACAGAAACUAUUAACACAGGAAGAUUCUAAAUUGCUGCUCAAUAAAAAGUUUCUCAUUUUGGCAUGAUUUGCUCUUACUUCUUUUCCAACCUCAUUCUCAUCAUCCAUCACAAUUCUCACAGCGUUGCCUACACUUUCUUUUGUAAACAACCCAUCUUCUUCACCUCUCUCAACUUCUAUACCAACCUUCAACGUACUACUCAUCAUUCUUGCAUUCAUGAUAUGAUCCGCACCUGCACGUGGCAACAGAACCAACUGACACGUGUUAACAAGUCCUUCGGUUAUACUAGCAGCUCCACAGUGUGUUAUGAAACAUCCAACAGAUGGAUGUUCUAAAAUCAAUUGUUGUUGAAUCCAACUUCCAUACACAAUCCCUUUUCCUUUAAUCCUUUCAUUGAACCCUUCUGGUAAAGCUUCUUCAAUUGACUCAAAUCCAAUUGGUGGCUUAAGUGCUGCAAGAAAUGGAAAACCUGUUAACUCAAGACCAAGUAACAACUCUUGAAAUUGAUUUGUUUCUAAUGGACCUUCACUUCCAUACGCACAAAAAAUCACAGAACCAUGUUUGAAUUCCUUAAGCCAUGUUAACCAUUUCUCCUCUAAAGUAGCUUUUGGUGGCUCAGGUAACAGAGGACCUGAAAGCAGAACAGGUUUUCCAAAAACAGUUUCAAGAUAAUCAGCAUAUAGACCAUCAAUCUCUCUGCAACCUUUGAAAGAAACUGCAUCUGAAGACUUUGUGCCUGUGUCAACGCGAUCGUACAGUAAAACACCACUGCCAAAUUCUAUUUUCCUGGUUGAAGCUAGGAAGCGAAGUUCAUGUGAAUGAAACUUGAUGGAUGAAUCAGGGAACCCUGCAGGUGGUUUUUUGAGAUCAUCUUUGGUUAAAUAUUUUCCCUGACUUUUUCUUGGUAUAUUUCCAAGGUAAGCUGAUGAUAUGGGAUUCCAUAUCAAGUAUUGAAGACUUUUGAUACCAAGUUUUUGAGUCAAGUUAGGUAGCCAAUAUUGAAAAUCAAAGAAAACUAUUUGUGGCUUUAACUCCUUCAAAAGAAGUUCAAUUUGUUUAUCUGUUUGAUCCAUGGCUGUAGCAAUAAGAGGGAAUAAAGAAAAUGGCACAUCUGAAGUUGUUUCAGCAUUAUGAGGAAGGCCAUUAACAUGAGGAACUGUGAUAGGGAAAAACGUAAUAAGAUUUGGAUGAAGAUUGAGAUGUUGUAACUUGUUGAGUGUGUUUUUAGGGAUGAAGAACGAUAUUUUGUGACCUCUUAUUGCUAAUUUGUUGGAGAAGUGAAGAUAUGGAGUUAAGUGUCCCAUAGCAAACCAUGGAAACAUUGCUAUGUGCAAAGGAGAAGGAGCAUCCAUUACUGCUAUUGAAUGUAAUGAAAUAAACUAUGCCACAAAUAUCAUAUACUUAUACAUAUAAUACAUAUAUAGAUAUAUAAGUGAGAGUUAAUUACGUUCUUUCAUUUUUAAGAUUUGGUGUAUCAUGAAAAAUGUGGACCUGAUGCAUAUAUCCCUAUGAGAAAGACAGAGAAUACUACAAAAUAUUGUGCAACCUAGUUGGUUUCACUAACUUAUUCAAAAAUAAAUAAAAUAGUUAGUUCCAUUCUGUUGGCAAGGAAAGUAAUCACUAAAUAGUACUAAAUUUACUAUCGGUCAGUAGAACUUGGUUUGUAUGUGUAGAACUUACGUAUGUACGGAAAUUUUAGUGGAUAUGCUUUUUUUGUUUAACCAAGUGUUAUAGAAUUGGUACGCAAAUAUUUUUGGUCUGUAUAAUGGUCUUUUUUUUUUUACUCAAUAUAUUGUGUGUAAAACAACUACGUUUUUAGGCUUAAUUGCACUAAUCAAUCCUUAACUAGAAUCCCAAUGUAUGAUUCCUCAUUGUAAUUUCAUUCAGUAAGAUCGAAUCAUUAUCUGCGAUUUUCUUUGUGCACUACCAACAAUUCAAUGGUCGCGAUUUUAUCCUGAAUUCAUCCUCAUACGCUCGUAUUUUUGUUGUUUCACAUUUACUUUCACCGCUAUAUAUUCAAAAUUCGCUUUAGUCUCUUCAUUCUCGGACAAGCCUCAAUACACUCUCAUCUUUCUUACUCCCUCCGUCCCAAAUUGUAUGAUGUUUUGGGCAUUUCAAAUGGAAAAAUUGAAAGAAGAAAGAGUAAUAAAGGAUAUAAUAUGAAAAAUAACAUUAAUGUUUCAUUGGUAUUGUAAAGUAUAAUCUGGGACGGAGGGAGUAUAUCCUUGGAAUCCUUAAAUAUCUUUUAAAUAUUGUGCAUUUAAACAUUCAUUUUUUUUCUCACUAUAUCAUACUUUCAACUUAGUCCCCCCCAAACUUAAUUCCUGACCCGUCCGUAAAUUCAGUCAUAACAAAUAUUCAAAAAAUAAAUAUUAUAAUAACUAAACUCUCUUCAAAUAAAUGACGCAACACACUAAAUUUAUUAUCUUCCUCCCUUGAUCAAAACUUCAUCUCUGAUGUCAGUUGUUGAGAAAUCACGAAGAUAAAACUUUCACACAAGCAGAAGCACAUCAACAAAAGAAGUAAAAAAAAAAAACUCACAAGUUUUCUUUUAAUGAACAUGCAACUUCUACAAGAAUAAAAUUGUAAACCUUGUUAUACAAAAUUGCAAACCUUUCAACUAGAAUUUCAAUUUUCACAAGGAGACAUAACCCCAUAUUUAUUUAAGUUGAACGAUCUAGUAGACUUAAAAUAAAAUAAAAUAAAAAUUGGUCUAAAGUAUGAUCAUUUUAACCAAGUUAAUUCCUUAAAAUUUCUUAACUUUGUUUUCGAUAAAAGAGUUUGAUCAAGUUUGGACCUGAUGUAAGUUAAAGGCUUAAUUGUAGUUUUAGUCCUCUUAUUUUCACCAUUUUACAUAAAUGGUCCCUCUAUUUUAAAAUUCGACAGUUUUGAUCCUCCAUCAUAUUUUUGAACUAUAAAAAUGUGAUGUGAUAAAUUUUAAAUGUUGUGGAAUAUGAUCUGAAGAUAGAAAAAGAUCAACAUCGAUAAAAUUGCGACAAAAUUUUCUUGAAAACUUCAUUUAAAACAUAUCAUAUCACAAUAUUUUAGACAAAAAAUUUGAUAGAAGGACCAAAAUUGUCUAAUUUAUAAUAGGAGGACCAAUUUUGCAAAAUGAUGAAAAGAGGGAGAGCAAAACUGCAUUUAAGCCUAAGUUAAAUUGUAGAUAUCCCUAUUUCAAUCCUACUAUUAAUUGAUAAAACUAGCUAAAAUUAAAAAAAUUGAGAAAUAUAGAGACAAACAUGAAUAAAUUACUAUAUUCUGUCCAAGAAAUGAAUAAUUUACUAUAUGGUGACGAUGAUAGUCAGUAGAAUAUCAAAUGGGUAUUAAUCAAACAUAAAAUAACUAGAAAAAAAUCUUGGGUACAAGAUUUGUUUGAUUAAAAACCUUGAUUAGUAUGACUCAUUUCAUUGUCUUCUAUUACUGUGGCUUUCUCACCAAAAGAAUACAAUGAUACACUAAUUUCCAAAGGCGAUAUAAUUUAUUUUCAUAACUUUUGCAUGUCAGCCAAUUGGUGAAAAAAGAGGUCACUAGGUAGGUGUGGCCCCUAAUUCUGAAACUUUCCUUGUCUUUUUUUGGAUUAAGAGUCAACCAACGUACCAAACCAUGAAUGCGAAAAAAAAAAAAUCAUCCAUUAUACUUACUUACAUGUGUAAUACUAGCAUGUUUUAAGUGGAUUAUAAAUCGGUGACGUUGAUAAGUUUGGUAAAACCGAUGUUAUGUCCCGUGAACUCAGCUCAUUUGAUAAAGGAUAAUGCAUUUAUAGGGGUCAGAGUUUGAAUUCUGGACAUCCGACUUAUUCACCUUUAAAAGUAAAUUUUUCUAGCCGUUAAAUUACUUGACAAAAAAAAAACGGUGUUAUGUAAUUUUCUUGAACCUCUAACAUAGUUUAUACUCCAUUUUCUUAAUAUGUUUAUUUUAAAUGAUAUAUCAUUUUACAAUAUUAAUAAAAAAAAAAAAAAAUUUUAUCAAAUAAUCUAAUGGAUAUAAUUUACAUUUAAAGUAAAUAAAUAAGGUGUUCAGGAUUAAACUUUAAUCCUAACAUAUUAUAACGUAUUGUUCCUACCAAAAUUAUGUCUAUAGGGACAAUGCUUCCUUUUCUUUUAUGCUUUUUAUUAUUUGUUAUUUUUCAAUUUUUCUAUUAUUUUAAUUUUGCUUUUGCAUAUCAUUAAUGAAUUUGUUUAUAUAUAAUAUUUAUUACAUUUCUUGUUUAUCCUUUUAAAAAAGAUUAAUCAUAUUUUUUAAUGUGCGUGAAAUUGUCAAAAUAAUAUAUAAUUUGUACAUUAAGGAGUAUGGUGAUUGUACCAAGCUCAUUAAUGAUCAAAAUGUACACUAAGAAAGAAUAUUGCCCUCACUAUGCAAGUCUUUUGGAUCCAUUAAAUAUUUAGUUUUUCCUAUAGUAUCCUUUAUCUUUAUUUCAAGAGUCUGGUUAACGAGUGUCUCCGGGACAUUAUUUAAAAAUUUAAAAUUUAAAAAAUAUUUCUUAAAAAAGUCAAAUAUUAUAAAUUUUAAUGCAUUGAUUACACAUAUUUUAAUAAAAACUUACAAUUAAUGGUCCUUAAAGAGUGCCCUGGGACACUCGUUAACAUUUUCCUUAUUUUAAUUAUACUCCCUUAGUUCUAAAAUGUAAGGAAAAAAACUCACUUUCUUUGUCCUAAAAUGUAAGCAAAAAAGACAAACAUUUAUACUAUUUAAUCUUGUUUUUUUAAAAAACUAUCUUUUCCAACAAAAUCUUUUGUUUUAUCUCAUUAAAUUAAAUGCAAAUUGUAUUCAAUUUUCUCUCUCUACCAUUUUCUCCUUAAACAAUAUAGCAAAUGAAAAUUGUUUUUACAUCUUCCUAUGAAACUUACUCCAAAAAAACACAAAAAAUUAUACUCCAAAUUCUUAUGUUUUAGUUUUCUUAAUAAGUGUGAAUUGAUUUUUUUUUUCUUACAAUUUGAAACGGAGGGAGUAUGUUUUCUUUUAGCUAUUUUAUUUAUAGUUUUAUCCCUUUUGUAAUAUUUAAAAAAAUCAGUUAAAUUUAUUUCAAUAGGUAUAACCCACAAUAAUAACUAAAAUAUAUUUUGUUGAAUGGACAAUAAGAACAAUAACUGAAACUACAUAUAUAUAUAUAUAUAUAUAUAUAUAUAUAAUCUUAUUUGCUGAAAUUAUUUAGUUGUAUUAUCUGGGGUGAAGCAUAGUGUUGGCAUGGGGUGGCAUUGGCUACCCUAUUAAUUUUUUUGAUAACUUAAGUAUUUUUGUGUUUAGUUACUCUAAUAUAGAUUUAGCUACCUAAGAUAAAUUUAUUUCUUAAAAUUAUUAGUAGAAAUAUAAAAGAUAAUACAUUAUCAUUUGAUUGAUACAUUUAUAUUUUCGUGUUUAGGCAUAUUUAGACGUCAUAGUAAGUACACAAAGAACUUUGUAAACAAAGAAAAAAUGUCAAGAUAAUAUUCGUAAAAUUAUUUUUUUUAGUUUUUUUUUAUAUAUUUGGCCCUUAAAAAAAAAAAUGGCUAACUUUGCCGUUGUGUAUUAUAUGUUAAAAAGAUGAGUCAAGAUUCUCUCCAUUUUGUACCCUCUCUAUUUUUUUAUAUUUGGACAGAUAUAAACUCAAUUUUUUAGUUUUUCAUUAAAGAAGAUCCAAAAUUGUUCAAUAAUAUUUAAUUUUAUGCGAGUUUUAGUUUUUUUUUAUUGGUUUACGAUUUUUAUUUUGACCGGUUUCGAUUUGAACAUCCUACCUAUAAGAUGUUUUGUCAUCUAAAGCUUGAUGAUCGUUUAUUUUUCUAUUUAAAAAAUUGGGUUAAUUGUUGAAAUAGUCCCUCUAAUAUUUGUGAAUUUUAAAAAUAGCCCUCGUAAAAAUAAAUCUUACCUUAUAAUUUGAUGUUUUUUUUUCACACAAGAGGUGCUGAUGUGGCUCAAAUUUACACUCUUGUUGGUCGGUCUAAUCUAUUUGCAUUCAAUUUUAAUUAGCAGACCAAAAUUAUAACAUCUAUAAAAGACAGGCCAAAAUGAAAAAUUUUACUGUAUCAUGACCAAAUUCGGUGGAUUAUCAAACAUGUAUUUUUGUAUUAUUAUUUUUUUACUAAAGAAAAUGAUAUUGAUUCAUUAAAACUGAUAUAAUACAUAGAUAUAAUACAAACUUAAAGUCAUAGAAAAUAGAAAAGAUGAAUAUGUGAAUAAAAUCACAACAUCCAUGUUAAUACUACUCCCUUCAUUGUCAAUUAUAAGAAAAUUUUGACUUUUUAGGUUAAUUCAAUCAAUUAUGUAUGUGGUCUAUAAUAUAGAUUAUAUACAUCAUUAACUGAAUGAACUUAAAAAAUCAAAAUUUGUUUAUAAUUGACAACGGAGGGAGUAUAAAAUAACAAAAUACACAAGCCUACAAUGAUGCCUAUAUUCAAAUUCUUAUAAUACCCGUCCAUCCAUAUAUGUAGCGUUGAAGACGCCAAAGUCGGUGAUUGGAUAUGCACUAAGUCGAAAUUAAUCUUUCAAUAUGAAUUAGAUAAACACCGCGCUAAGGCAGAAAAUAGAAAGAAAAAAAAAAACACAUAAAGACGGAAAAUCAAAACAAACAUCGUCGUGCUAAGACGACGAAAUCAUAAAAACUUGUAAAAAGAAACUAAACAUGUGUGAAUAUCUCAUAUUUAAAUAAAAAGAAAGGAAAAAAUAAGUUGGAAGGAUAAUUUAGGAUCAUAAUUGCCCUAAUCCAUCAUACAUAGAUGAAGUAGAAGGAAAAAGAAAGUGAUAACGACUAAAGUUUGAAGAAGAGAUCAAACACAGUUAAUCUUUUUUUUUUUUUUUUUACAUUUAAGAAAAAUUCAUUAACAAAAGUCAAGACUGCAUAAAUAUAAGGUGGAGUCUCUUUGAUCUAUAUGCAAUCCAAAUUAUGAAGAGCAUGUUUUGCUAAAUAAUGAGUAGUCUGGUUAGCUUCACGCCUAACAUGCAAAAAAUUUAAACUACGAAAACAAACAUUGAAACUAAUACAAUCUCCAAUAAUAGAGCCGACAUAGGUGGAAGAUUGUUGAUGAGCAUUCAGUGCCAAGACCACCUUAGAAGCAUCUGAUUUUGCCUAACAUGUAUUUUGUAAAUUCCAAACCCUUCCGCAUAGUUAAAGCUUCUGCAACUUUAAGAAUCAACAUUAUCUCUCAAUCAAUAUUUCAUAAAACAUACAGAAAAUGGACACCAUAUUUCUAACAUAAACAUUUCUUAUUUCUAACACACCAUAUUUCAUAAAACAGAGCCAAAAUAUGGACUAUAAUAUCCUCGAUAGCAUCAGUAAUAUUUCUCUCCAACCACUCUAAAAAUGGUACAUACCUAAAAUGAUGCUGACAAACACUAUUAAUCAAUAGACAUAAAAUAAACUAGAAAAUCUUGAACCUACGAUUAAUUGAUUAUAAAAUUUGAUCAGUAAGACUUCUUUAAUCGUCUUGUAUCGAUCAGUUUGUUGCUUUCUCACCAAAAGAGAAAACAAUUAUACAAUAAUCUCCACUAAUCAGGCAAGGCGAUAUAAUUAAUUGUCAAGAACUAUUAUAUAUGCUAAUUGGUGAGAAAAGGUGGCCAUUAAUUCUAUAAUAAUAUUCCUUGUCUUUCUUCAAUAGAGAUUAGGCCAACCUGCCUACUUAGAUGAAAUUAUAUUUUUUAAUGCAUCUUAUAAUCACUUACAUAGUGAUUUUGCCAAGCUCAUUAUUGAUCAAAAAAUACAUACACUACAAAAUUUUCAUUGUACAUCAAUUUUUUGUUAUAUAGAGCUAGCAGCAAAAUUUAUAUACACUAGCCUCGGAGAAGAGAGGUAUUACAUAUUCAAAUUAUCUCUUAAAUAUAUCAAAUAUCUAUAUAGCUUUUUACCAUUUGAGUUAUACUUACGGAACAUUAUACAUCAAUUUUUAUUUUGGUAGAACAACCUUACACAUCAAAAUUUCAAAAAUCAUAGAAUAUAAUUGAACUUACACACACACACAUCUACAUAUAUAUAUUUGUAUAGCUUUGUCCCUAGUUCAUUACAUUCUUGUAUCAACCAUGGGAUCUCUUCCUCCUUUGCACAUAGCAAUGUUUCCAUGGUUUGCUAUGGGACACUUCACCCCAUAUCUUCACCUCUCCAACAAAUUAGCAAAAAAAGGUCACAAAAUAUCAUUCUUCAUCCCCAAAAAAACACAAACCAAGUUACAACAUCUCAACCUAAACCCAAAUCUCAUCACUUUUUACCCUCUCAAUGUUCCUCACAUUGAUGGUCUUCCCGAUGGUGCUGAAACAUCUUCAGAUGUACCCUUUUCUUUAGUCCCUCUUAUUGCUACAGCAAUGGAUCAAACAGAAAAACAAAUUGAACAUCUUCUUAAGGAACUAAACCCACAAAUAGUUUUCUUUGAUUUUCAAUAUUGGCUUCCAAAUUUGACUCAAAAACUUGGCAUAAAAAGUCUUCAAUAUUGGAUAACAAGUCCAUUUUCAAUAUCUUAUUUUUGGAAUGGACCAAGACAUAGCCAAGGAAAAGGAUUAACUGUAGAUGAUCUCAAGAAACCACCUUCAGGGUACCCUGAUGGUUCUAUCAAGCUUUAUCAACAUGAACUUCAAUUUCUAUCUUCAACAAGGAAACUUGUCUUCGGAAGUGGUGUAUUUUUAUACGAUCGUUUGCAUAUAGGUACAAGUUUAGCUGAUGCAAUUGGUUUCAAAGGUUGCAAAGAACUUGAUGAACCAUAUGCUGAAUUUCUUGGAAAUUUUUAUGGAAAACCUUAUCUACUUUCAGGUCCUUUGUUACCUGAAACACCAAAAACAACUUUAGAUGAAAAAUGGGAAUCAUGGCUUAAGGGAUUCAAACCUGGUUCUGUGGUGUUUUGUGCAUAUGGAAGUGAAGGUCCAUUAGAAAAAAAUCAGUUUCAAGAGUUGUUGCUUGGUCUUGAGUUAACAGGUUUUCCAUUUCUUGCAGCACUUAAACCACCUAAUGGAUUUGAGUCUAUUGAAGAAGCUUUACCAGAAGGGUUCAAUGAAAGAGUUAAAGGAAAAGGGAUUGUUUAUGGAAGUUGGAUUCAACAACAAUUGAUUCUAGAACACCCUUCUGUUGGAUGUUUCAUAACACACUGUGGAGCUGCUUCUAUAACCGAGGCACUCGUUAACACGUGUCAGUUGGUUUUGUUGCCACGUGUAGGCGUUGAUCAUAUCAUGAAUGCAAGAAUGAUGAGUGAAAAGAUGAAGGUUGGUGUGGAAGUUGAGAAAGGUGAUGAAGAUGGGUUGUUUACAAAAGAAAGUGUGUGUGAAGCUGUGAAAAUUGUGAUGGAUGAUGAGAAUAAAGUUGGAAGAGAAGUGAGAAAAAAUCAUAGUGAAUUAAGGAAGUUUUUAUUGAGUGAGAAUUUAGAGUCUUCGUGUGUUGAUAAUUUUUGUGAAAAGCUUCAAGGUUUGAUUUAAAUUUCUUGAGUUUGAAUAUCACAAAAUUGUUGUUGCUGAAUGAAUCAUUGCACAUAAUUGUACUGUUAUUAUUGUGUUUUAUUAUAACUUUGUGAGUUUGUAUUAUGAACUUUUGACCAAUAAUUUGCAUUACUAAAUUUGUUGGUGAUGGUUUGUGUUUGCUUUGAAGCUUCAAACCAAAUGAUAUUUAAAGAUGAAAUCAUAUGCAGAUUGGUUCUAUUUGAGUGACUCAUUUAAAAAAAAAAUAUCUGAAUCUACUUGAUACAAUUUUAUGUUGUUUAAUUUAGAUCGUGUUUUUUUUUUUACAACGAAUAAUUUGAUAAAUAAUACUCGAAGCACAAGAAAUACUAGAGCGUCAAUGUAACACUAAAAACAGUUGGAUUUUAAGUGUUAGUGAUUAUGUUCCACAUCGAUUAAGAAUAAAGGAAAUGUUGGAUAUAUAAGAGAGGAGACUUAUAUACCUGAUUUUUAAAAGUUUUGGAUAGAGAUGUGGUGUAUGUACUGAUUAUUUAAUGUUUUACGGUAGAUCAUUAUUUUACUUGCUAUAUCGAUUUGUAUAAUUGAGAUCAUUCCCCACAUUGGUUCUUCCGUUGCUAAGAUAAUCAUCGCACAUUUUCAAAUAAAGAGAAAAAAAUAUUAUCGUCGCUGAAAGUUUUUUAUUUUUUGUUAGGGGAUCAUCACCGAAAGUUAGUGGCAUUAAUUUAGACAGGAACUUGAUUAAAAAACAAAGCAAAAAAAUGUAAGCAGUAACCUAACCUCUCAUUUCCUUCCGACCUAAUUCAAAUAUAAAAUUAAAAAGAUUCAUUAAUCUUGUUGUAGAAGUGACUCAAAAUAUGGAUUCUGGAUGUGCCAAAAACGGUGAUAGAUUUUGGCUGUGUUUUCAGCCUUUUCAUUCGGCAAAAAUCGGUGUCCAAUUUUGCGCAGCAAAUAAAAUAAAAUCAUAUUUUAGGUUGAGAUUUGUUCCAAUUUUUUAGGGAUACUUUUACUAUAAAUAUAGACAUUGUAUCAGAUGUAAACCUUGAAUUAGAGAGCCGGAAAAACAGGGUUUAGAAUCCAACAAUAAAAUUUGGGUUUGUAGAGUUUGCUCUUGGUAACAAACACUAGGGUUGAGAUUGAUUCGCAUUGGAAAACACUAUUAUGAUUGAGUCUCUUGAUCACGAGAAGAGAUUGACACUUUGGGUAGAAUUAUGUUUGAAUACUAAUUCUUGUAACCUUUUAAUAUCUCUUUUCUAAAAUUACUCAUCAUUGCAGUGGAACGGAGAGCUGCUCUCUCCCCCUUACUAGGUCAGUAUAUCGAACUGGCUAAACAAAUUUUUUGUAUUCUCUCUUUCUUUCUUUCACUGUUUUCUAUUUUGCUUGUUUUUAUAAUUGUUAUCCACGUUGUUUUGAUUGUUUGAUUAUUUUGCUCCACACAUUAAAUAUUUUAUUGGUGUGAUUUUUAACGAAUUUACCACAAAUCUAAAGGUAAACCAAACUUCCACUCCAACACCUAAACACAUGGUAUCACAUGUAUAGAUAUAGAUAUAUAAGUGAGUUUUUUUUUAAGAGAAGAUAGAUAAGUGAGAGUUAAUUAAGUUAUUUCAUUUUUAAGAUUUGGUGUAUCAUUAAAAAUGUGGACCUGAUGCAUAUCCCUAUGAGAAAGACAGAGAAUACUGCAAAAUAUUGUGCAACCUAGUUGGUUUCACUAACUUAUUCAAAAACAAAUAAAAUAGUUAGUUCCAUUCUGUUGGCAAGGAAAGUAAUCACUAAAUAGUACUAAAUUUACCAUCGGUGAGUAGAACUUACGUAUAUAUGGAAUUUUUUAUUGGAUUAUCCCUUUCUUUUUUUAACUAAGUGCUAGGGAAGUUACCAUGCGAAAAUUUUCACACAAGCGGAAACACAGCAACAGAAGAAGUAAAAUACACAAAAACAAUUCAUGAAUCUUUCUCUGGGUCAUGUUAAAAGGUCCCUGAAGAGUACUAAAAAAGAAAGUUAUUAUUAAAAAAGUUAUUUCUUUUGAUUUUUUAUGGAUUAAUUACACAAUCUUUGAUGCAAUAAUAUAUAAAAAAAAAAUUCCGUAUCCUUAACCAGUGUCUCGAAAGUACCGAUUGACAUUUCCUUUUUUUAUUACUCAUGUGCAAUUUUUACAAGUACAAAAUUGUAAAUUCAUAAAGUUUUUGAUACGGAGCAGAAGGCGGCACCGGUGGAUGGAGGUAGAGGUGCGGCGACGGCGCCGAUGGGAGAGAGAGAGGCAACUGUUAGAUUAUGAGAGAAGGAAGUAAGAGUGCGUAUGCUUUAUUUUUAUUAAAUAAUUGUUUUUUUUUUCAAACCUUUUAAUCACAACCAUUGAUUUUGUUUUUUUCCACAUGUCACACAUCUAUGACUUGAAAUGGGGUAAAUUGAGGAAACCUAAAUGGAGCAAAGAUAGACUCCGUGUGAAGGCGAGAACAAACUCACCCAAGUCAUCGCGAAUCAUAUGCCGAUACCUACACUGUGGAGCUGCUUCAUAACUGAAGGACUUGUUAGCAAGUGCCAGUUGGUGUUCUUGCCACGUGUAAGUUCUGAUCAUAUCAUUAAUGCAAGAAUGAUGAGUAAAAAGUUUAAAGUUGGUGUGGAAGUUGAGAAAGGUGAUGAAGAUGGGUUGUUUACAAAAGAAAAUGUGUGCAAAGCUGUGAAGAUUGUGAUGCAUGAAGGGAAUGAGGUUGGAAGAGAAGUGAGGAAAAAUCAUAAUGAAUUAAGGAAGUUUUUAUUAAGUGACAAUUUAGAGUCCUCUUGUGUUGAUAGUUUCUGUGAAAAGCUUCAAGAUUUGAUUCAUUGAGUGACAGUUAAAGAAGCUUCAAAAGUGAGUUAUUGCAUAUAAUUGUAUUAUUAUUGUUAUUGUGUCUAUAUAUAUUUUUGUAAGUUUGUAUAUAUUAUAUAUGAACUUCUAUUAUUUAGUGAUCCAUAUAUUUAACUUGCUAACCUUCAACUUGUAUCAUUUAAAACAGUGGCGGAUCUUGCCCAAAUUAUCAGGGGAGCCGCAAAUGUUAACUAAAUAUUAUAAUUAAAAUUCAUAAAAGUCAUAUACAAUUUUUUCCAAAAAAAGUAUCAACACGAGGUUAAAGUUCCAAAUUACUAUCUAUCAACUAUAUAGCCUAUCCUAGGCUUAGAUGAUUUGAAUCAGCCUAUUGUGAUUCUUACCACAUGCAGAAUAGAAGAACCCCUCACACGAGACUGCUACAUAUACUCUCUGAUGCAAAAGCUUGGAACCCGACCAAGUCACCAGAGCAGCUAAAUAAUAAGCUUAGACAAAUCAGAAAAUAUUUAAAAUAAAUUCAAUAUAUAUAUAUAUAUAUAUAUAUAUAUAUAUAUAUAUAUAUAUAUAUAUAUAUAUAACAUUUACCUCAAUCUAAAAUUUCACAUUUCACUCUUUCAAAGAUUUGAACUCGUCAAUAAUUGAAUCAGAACUAAAUUGAUUAUCUAUUUCCUUUUCAAAAUAAAGCAUCAUAUUGUCAGCAAGAAAUUCAUCCUACAUCCUAUUACACAAUCUUAUCUUGAUUAACUUCAUUGCUGAAAAUGAUCUUUCUAUAGUAGCUGUAGAAACCAGGAGAGUUAAGAUAAGACGACUUAGACGAUCAACCAAGUAAUCAAUGUUUAUCCGCCCUCCUUGUCUUUCUUAGAGCUUCACACAACAACUUAUUCAAAUCUGGAUGACUAACAACAUCAAGAUGGAAGUGACGAAGUUGAUAUCUCAAAUUAAUUUUCUCUUGCUCACUAAAAUCUAGAGGAUAAAAUUUACUUACAAAGCACAUAUAUUAUCUAUAUCAAAUGCUUUGUGCAUAUCCUUAGGGACCAAACUAUUUCUUAGAAUUAAAAGCUCCGUUGUUUCCAAACAAAACCUACGAUUCAAUUCUUGCAAUUGCUGAUCAAUUGUAACAUAAAAAAGAUUUACUCUAAAAUGUUGACCGGCUGUGAUGUGAUCUUUUUGAUGACGAGCGCUAUCUUCAUGCUCUAUAUAAACAACAUUACAAUCACGAGAAUUAAUAUCAUGUUUUUCACAAAGGGUUUGAGAGACAUGUUUAUUUGUUGUGUUAUGAGUGCAGUUUGUUUGGAAAUCGUGGUUGCAUCACAAAGAGAGAUGGUUCACAAAGAGAGAGGGUUCAAAGUGGGCUUAGGAGGUGGGUGUGAAAGUAGGGGGUUGAUGAUAGAGCAUCAUAUAACAUAUAAGAUGAGAGAUAGAGGAGUUGUUAAUGGUUUGAGGAACAUAUUGUAUUGUUUUCACUCGAGUCGUUGUAACUUACUUUUAUCCUAGAUCAUGCAAUUCCAUAGGUGUUUUGAGUGUUUUGUAGUCAGGAAUCAUAUAAAUAUACAAAUCAAGAUAUCACAUGAAGGAGCAAAUAAAAAAAAUCGCAUGUGUGGGACUGUGUGCCUCUGCGCCUGUGACAUCAUUCCUUGCUGCCUCAGGCUCCCCUGUGCUAUGUGCCUCUACGCCUGGAAGCGGGUAAAAACCGCUUUAUGCUUGUUUUUUAAGUUGGCUCGGUGAAUAAAGCCCACCUUUCUUCUCUCAAUCCCUAAGUAACCUAAUGUUAUAAAUAGAGACCCUUACUGAACUUUUUGCACCGAUCCAGCUUGAAAAACAAGCAAAAUCAGCUUCCAACCCGCAGCUGGGCGCCUAGACGCCUAGAGUCACACACAGGGGUGCCUAAGGCAGCAAGGAAUGUGGUUCCAGGCGCGCAUGGUACAAGUGUAUGGGCGCCUGAGGCAGCUCCUCAGGUGUGACUUAUUGUGUUUUCGUCCCGUUUUUUGAUCGUUGUUUCGUCUGAAAACUUCUAGGAACUUUAAAUAACUAUUUUUCUUUUUCUUGCAACAAGUUACAACAGCAAAAAAAAAAAAUACUAUAUAGUUUUUGGACAACACAUCUUGAAUGUAACAUAGUUUAUAGGUGUGUGAAAAAUGCAAGAUUAAGACAUAAUUCAAUCAACAUGUCUCUGCCAACAAACAUGCAUUUGCAAACAUGUUCAUAACACAUCUCUUCCCGACCAGGUAUCAACCUUAUUAAGUUCUUCAUCUUGUCUACAUCAUUAACAUCAUGACAUUCCUUUUGAAGCUUGAGUUUAAGAAUGUUACCCCAUGCAAAAUCUUGUGCUGAGAAAACCAUCGCGAUGUCCACUUCAUACUUAACAUUCUUAAUAUGGUUGCUAUUGUUAUCCUUUGAAGAAUUAUUAUUUUCCUUUAUCUUCGUCAAUGUUAGAUCUAAAUAACUUAAAUAGUUUCUAGCAAAUAUAGUUUGCACUAUUUUGUUUAGUUCCACAUAAUAAACAUGUAUGUGUUUAUUUUGUUAUGCCUCCAUAUUUAAUCAAGAUAUUCAAAAAUAAUAUAAAAAAUUGCGAGGAAAAUGUUGUGACAGAGGGAUAGAGAACAUAACAUAGAUAUGUGAGAAAAAUAUUGGGAGUUGUCAAUUUAUUUUGGCUGGCACAUGGAAUCAUGAAUUAAAUAUAUGGUAACCAAAAUCGUGGAUUAUCAAAAUGGUUUCAAAAGAAAUAAACUAACUAGAAAAUCUUGGGUCCGGGAUUUGUUUGACUAACAAAUUUUAUCAUAGGGCACAUUUAAUUGUCUUUUAUAAGUAUUUGUAUAGGUGUGUCCCUGGUCCAUUCCAUUCAGUCUCAAAUAAACCAUGGAUGCUCCUCCUCCUUUACACAUAGCAAUGUUUCCAUGGUUUGCUAUGGGACACUUAACUCCAUAUCUUCACCUCUCAAACAAGUUAGCAUUAAGAGGACACAAAAUAUCAUUCUUCAUACCUAAAAACACACUCAACAAGUUACAAUAUCUCAAUCUUUAUCCAAAUCUUAUUACCUUUUUCCCUAUCACAGUUCCUCAUGUUAAUGGUCUUCCUCUUGAUGCUGAAACAACUUCAGAUGUGCCCUUUUCUUUAGUCCCUCUUAUUGCUACAGCCAUGGAUCAAACAGAGAAGGAUAUUGAAAUUCUUCUCAAAGAAAUAAAGCCACAAAUAGUUUUCUUUGACUUCCAAUAUUGGCUUCCAAAGUUGACUAAAAACCUUGACAUCAAAAGUCUGCAAUACAUUAUAUUGACUCCAGUAUCAACAGCUUAUCUCGGAUGUUUACAAAAACUAAGUCUAGGGAAAGAUUUAACUGAUGUUGAUAUCAUGAAACCACCUUCAGGGUUCCCUGAUUCUUGCAUCAAGUUUUAUAAACACGAACUUCGAUUCCUAGCUUCAACAAGGAAAAUUGCAUUUGGAAGUGGUGUUUUCUUAUUUGAUCGUUUGCACAUUGGUACAACCUCUGCAGAUGCAGUUGGUUUCAAAGGUUGCAAUGAAGUUGAUGGACCAUAUGCUGAUUAUAUUGAAACUGUUUUUGGAAAACCUGUUCUGCUUUCAGGUCCUGUGUUACCUGAGCCAACAAAUACAACACUAGAGGAAAAAUGGAUUUCAUGGCUUAAGGGAUUUGAAAAUGGUUCUGUGGUUUUUUGUGCAUAUGGAAGUGAAGGUCCAUUAGAAAAAAAUCAGUUUCUAGAGUUGUUGCUUGGCCUUGAGUUAACAGGUUUUCCAUUUCUUGCAGCACUAAAGCCUCCUAUUGGAUUUGAGUCUAUUGAAGAAGCUUUACCAGAAGGGUUCAAUGAAAGGAUUAAAGGAAAAGGGAUUGUUUAUGGAAGUUGGAUUCAACAACAGUUGAUUCUGGAACACCCUUCCGUUGGAUGUUUCAUAACACAUUGUGGAGCUGCUUCAAUAACCGAGGGACUUGUUAAUACGUGUCAGCUGGUGUUGUUGCCACGUCUUGGUUCCGAUCAUAUCAUGAAUGCAAGAGUGAUGAGUUCAAAAUUUAAGGUUGGUGUGGAAGUUGAGAAAGGUGAUGAAGAUGGGUUGUUUACAAAAGAAAGUGUGUGCAAAGCUGCAAAAAUUGUAAUGGAUGACGAGAAUGAGAUUGGAAGAGAAGUGAGAGCAAAUCAUGCAAAAAUGAGAAACUUCCUCCUCAGCAACAAUUUAGAGUCAUCAUGUGUUGAUAGUUUCUGUCAGAAACUUUAUCAUUUGUUCUAGCAUUUUUAGUUACAAUGAUAAAUGAUUCUUGCUUGUUCAGUUUGUUAUAAAUAAGAAUGAUCUAUGAAUUCCAAUUCAUCACCACUCAUACAUGCCUUGUAUUUUUACGCACUAAAAAAUUAAAUGUAUUGUUAUGAUAGAACUAUUUUUCCCUGAUACUUGGUUUAAGCCUUUCCACUUUUUCUCCCAAAUGUUUUGAAUUCGUUGAUGGAAGUAAAUUUUCAUGUUGGUUUGAUUAUUGUUCACAGUAUCUCAACAGUAUCAUUUUAACCUACUAUAUCAAUAGAAAUAGUCUCCUUGAGAAAUAUUCUUUACAUUCACUUAUUUAAUUAUUCUUUGUACGUUGAUGCUCAAGGUGCACAUAUAUACUCGAUUAUUUGGGCGAUAUGUUACUAAAGAGGACAAUACCGAUUGGUUGAUCUGUAGUAGUAUGUCUUACUUGGCUCAAAAUAGUACAUGAUAGUAUGUCUGUAAGCCAUAAAUUUCAGAAAAUUUUCAUGCCAACAACUGAGCAGUGAAACCAACGAGCUGACAAAGUCGGUAGCAUUCUGAGUCUUCCUCAUAUGCAGAUCCAUCGUGUCCAGCACAAAAUUUUCAUAAUACAUCAAAAUUUGCUCUAGGAUUUUCUGUUCCAGUGAUAAUGAAUCUUUCCAAUUCAGUUUGAUUAUAAAUAAGAAUGGUCUAUCAAUUGUUCGUUCAUGAAAAUGAAAUGUCAGCUAAAUGAUAAGAGUUUGAUCGUUAACCUUAAGGAGCAGAGUUUAAAUCUUAAUGAACAAUUUGGUGAGCCAUCUAUACAUUCCUCUCCAUCUCAUUUUUAAAUCUCAACAGGUAUAUUUUUGCUUCGUCUGCCUUAAUUCAUUUACUUCAAAAUUUCGAAUUCAGAAGCAAUUCCAGUCGUCAUCUUCAGAACUGAGUCUAUUAGACUCAAUAAAAACUUGUGUUUUUAUCAAUGGAAAGUGUGUGUCUAUAUAUAUUACUUUCUUUUCCAAAAUUAGGACACUUAUGUGUCGCAUCAUAACCCAACAAAUUGAUUCACUAGUUAGGAUCAUAUUACAGGUUAUCAAUACACAUAAUAUUUUCUUAUUGAAACCAUAUAAUCAUACAACAAUAUAUAACAGUUUGAUAGAGUUUCUACUAAUUAGAAAAUCACCUGACUAAUUCUUGAAGCUUCUCACAGAAACCAUCAACACAAGAUGACUCCAAAUCUUGGUUUAACAAAAGGUUCCUGAGUUUAUCAUGAUUAUUCCUAACUUCUCUGCCAAUCUCAUUCUCAUCAUCCAUAACAAUUUUCACAGCUUCACAAACACUUUCCUUAGUGAACAAUCCAUCUUCUUCACCCUUCUUCACUUCAACUCCAACCUUCAAUUUCAUACCCAUAAUCUUUGCAUUAAUGAUAUGAUCAGCAUCUAAAUGUGGAAUCAACACCAUCUGACAAUUAUUUGUCAGCCCCUCUGUCAACGAACCGGCCCCACAGUGUGUUACAAAACAACCAACAGAUGAGUGUUCCAAAAUCAAUUGUUGUUGUAUCCAUCCACUAUGAACAAUCCCUUUUUCCUUAACCCUUUCUUCAAACUCUUCUGGAAAAGCAUCUUCGACAGUUUCAAAACCAACAGGAGGUUUAAGAAUUGCCAAAAAUGGAUAACCUGUUAGCUCAAGUCCUAAUAACAAUUCUUGAAACUGUUCUAGUGUUAAUUUGCAUUCACUUCCAAGUGCACAAUAAACUAAUGAACCAUCUUUAAAUCCACCAAGCCAAGAACCCCAUUUUUCAUCUAAAACAGUUUUAGGUGGUUCAGGUAAAACAGGUCCUGAAAGAAGAACAGGCUUACCAAAUUCUUGUUCUAAGUAAUCAACAUAAGGCCCUUCAAUUUGUCUACACCCUUUGAACCCAAUUGCAUCACUUAAGCUCAAACCAUUAAAAAGCCUAUCAUAAAAAAGAACCCCACUUCCAAAUUCAAAAUUUCUUUUUAAAGCAAGAUACUUUGCUUCAUGAGAAUAAAGAGUGAAUGAUGAAUUAGGGUACCCUUUUGGGGGUUUCAUAAGAUCAAAUUCAGUCAAGUUUAUACUUUCACACAUCCUUGAUGGAGAUAGAGUAUAUGAAAUUGUUGCUGGACUAACAAUCCAGUAUUGAAAUGAUUUAAUUCCUAAACUUUGAGCAAUUUUUGGUAUCCAAAAGGCAAAAUCAAAGAAAACCAUUUUAGGAUUUAGUUGAGCGAGAAGAAGUUCAACUUGAGGCUGUGUUUGAUCCAUAGCUGUCAUGAUGAGUGGACCUAAAGAGAAUGAGACAUCUGAAGUGGUUUCAGCACCAAAUGGAAGACCAUGAAUGUGAGGAACAUUGAGAGGGUAAAAAGUGAUGAGAUUUGGAUAAAGGUUGAAUUGUUCUAAUUUGGUUUGUGUUUUCGUGGGAAUGAAGAAAGAGAUUUUGUGUCCCCUUUUGGCUAAUUUGUUUGAGAGAUGAAGAUAUGGAGUUAAGUGUCCCAUUGCAAACCAUGGAAACAUUGCUAU